AUUGAACGCUGGCGGCAUGCCUUACACAUGCAAGUCGAACGGUAACAGGUCUUCGGAUGCUGACGAGUGGCGAACGGGUGAGUAAUACAUCGGAACGUGCCUAGUAGUGGGGGAUAACUACUCGAAAGAGUGGCUAAUACCGCAUGAGAUCUACGGAUGAAAGCAGGGGAUCGCAAGACCUUGUGCUACUAGAGCGGCCGAUGGCAGAUGAGGUAGUUGGUGGGAUAAAAGCUUACCAAGCCGACGAUCUGUAGCUGGUCUGAGAGGACGAUCAGCCACACUGGGACUGAGACACGGCCCAGACGCCUACGGGAGGCAGCAGUGGGGAAUUUUGGGCAAUGGGCGCAAGCCUGAUCCAGCAAUGCCGCGUGCAGGAUGAAGGCCUUCGGGUUGUAAACUGCUUUUGUACGGAACGAAAAGCCCUGGGUUAAUACCCUGGGGUCAUGACGGUACCGUAAGAAUAAGCACCGGCUAACUACGUGCCAGCAGCCGCAGUAAUAC
rnacentral:rRNA from 1 species